rnacentral:lncRNA from 1 species
GAUGAAUGGCCAACUCAGAAGACAAGACAACGCAUCUAACGACAGCAUAUUGAUUACAGAGAGCUGAAUGAGGCUGGAGGGCAUAAAAGAGAACCUCUUCACGCUCCAUCACUUACAGGCUCCUGGGAAAUCGGUCACAGUUUGGAGAAGAGAGAAGAUGCCUUCCCAGAUGUUGGUAGUCACCUUGGCAGUACUGUUGGAGGCUUGCUGCAUUAACGCUUAUCCUGUCUACCCUGAAAGCAAUGGUGUCCAAGGAAACAAAAAUGCUCUCCAGGAAGAUGUUCCUGACCGCCUGGUGAGUAGAGGAAGCUGCCCUGGCUUUGGGGAGAGUAGUCAAGGGGGUAUACUGCUGGGCAGGGGAGUUCUGUGAGCCCGCUUCCCACAAGGUCCCAGAAAACCCUAUCCCUAUGGGCCUGUAAAUUGGAGGCUACCUUUGCUCAAAGGCAAAGGUUGGUGCUGACACUACUUCCUUCCUCGGCCUGACAGAGAGGGGAGGGGGCUUGGGGGCUGGUUUCUCUGAAUGGGCACUGCACACAUGUGAUGGGGCUGGUGUGACCCUCUGCCGUGGCAGGUGGAUGACCUCAAGGCAGUUCUCUGGAAGAUAGUGGCAGUGAGUGAGCUCCAGAGCCAGGGAUUUACCCAUGCAGACCAGGCCCCUCAACAACCCAACAAGAGAGGUGAGUGCUGACUCCCAUUAGGUCCUGGGGUCCAGCCACAUGAGGUCACCAUGCUACAGAGGGCUGCUCUCAUCUUACCCCAAACCAGAAAGUGCUCUGGAUAGCUGACCUGCAAAGGGUACACAGUGGUCGGGGGCCAAGCGUGUGGUGGAGGGUGCCCAUCUCAGGGGGUGGAGGGUGUCCAUUGUACAGACUAAGACAGAACCAUCCAGCUCCUGGUCUAUGCUCUUAGAACCGACUGCAAGGCUGAACGGGAGUCGAGGAGAAGAGAUGGCUGUCUCUCUUCCUUUAAACUUUUCUGCUGUAGCCAAGCAGUGCCACAGCCCCUCGCACAGGUGUCUUUUCCUUUCCCUUCCAGCUUGCUUCUGGAAAUACUGUGUCACCAAAUGAGGGACACAAGAGGAGCCCCGCCUGCCAUCUGCCUGCCAGCCUGCUCCAUGACACCUCUACCCUAACAGCUGCCGGUUGGCCCCUCUGCAUGUGACCCUGCCUGGCCACCACACCACAGUGUGCCUUGGUUUCCACAGCGCUUUGAAAUGUCUCCAUUUCCUUGUGGGGGAAAAGGGAGAGGAUAUGCAGCAGAGAGGGGUGUCACAGGGAAGGGGAGAGGCCCCAUGAGGGUCCAGGGCCCAGGACAGCGUGUCCCCCACAGCCACAUGGCUGCUUCCCUGCAUAUCAGGUGAUCAGUGGGGCAAACUACAGCCAUGGCAAGGCAAAGCUGCCAUCAUGCCCUUGCGGGGGGCUUGCAGGCCACCAGCAGGAGCCAAGUGCAGGAAAUGGCACCUCACUGAAUAAAACUCUUGCAGCUGAACA